rnacentral:rRNA from 1 species
CCAGCGAACUUGGCAGAGAUGCCUUGGUGCCUUCGGGAACGCUGAGACAGGUGCUGCAUGGCUGUCGUCAGCUCGUGUUGUGAAAUGUUGGGUUAAGUCCCGCAACGAGCGCAACCCUUAUCCCUUGUUGCCAGCGAUUCGGUCGGGAACUCAAAGGAGACUGCCGGUGAUAAACCGGAGGAAGGUGGGGAUGACGUCAAGUCAUCAUGGCCCUUACGAGUAGGGCUACACACGUGCUACAAUGGCGCAUACAAAGAGAAGCGACCUCGCGAGAGCAAGCGGACCUCAUAAAGUGCGUCGUAGUCCGGAUCGGAGUCUGCAACUCGACUCCGUGAAGUCGGAAUCGCUAGUAAUCGUGGAUCAGAAUGCCACGGUGAAUACGUUCCCGGGCCUUGUGCACACCGCCCGUCACACCAUGGGAGUGGGUUGCAAAAGAAGUAGGUAGCUUAACCUUCGGGAGGGCGCUUACCACUUUGUGAUUCAUGACUGGGGUGAAGUCGUAACAAGGUAGGCGUAGCGAG